GUAGGUGGCAAGCGUUGUCCGGAAUUAUUGGGCGUAAAGCGCGCGCAGGCGGUUCUUUAAGUCUGAUGUGAAAGCCCACGGGCUCAACCGUGGAGGGUCAUUGGAAACUGGAGAACUUGAGUACAGAAGAGGAAAGCGGAAUUCCACGUGUAGCGGUGAAAUGCGUAGAGAUGUGGAGGAACACCAGUGGCGAAGGCGGCUUUCUGGUCUGUAACUGACGCUGAGGCGCGAAAGCGUGGGGAGCAAACAGGAUUAGACACCCUGGUAGUCCACGCCGUAAACGAUGAGUGCUAAGUGUUAGGGGGUUUCCGCCCCUUAGUGCUGCAGCUAACGCAUUAAGCACUCCGCCUGGGGAGUACGGCCGCAAGGCUG
rnacentral:rRNA from 1 species